rnacentral:rRNA from 1 species
UAGGCUGCAACUCGCCUACAUGAAGUCGGAAUUGCUAGUAAUCGCGGAUCAGCAUGCCGCGGUGAAUACGUUCCCGGGCCUUGUACACACCGCCCGUCACACCAUGGGAGUCGGUAACACCCGAAGCCUGUAGUCUAACCGCAAGGAGGACGCAGUCGAAGGUGGGAUUGAUGACUGGGGUGAAGUCGUAACAAGGUAAC